CGGUUGUCACGGCAACAGUCGGCAAGGGAGUGCGAUGCUGGGACAGAGGGGGUGGAAGGAGAGAGAGAGUUAAUGAAAGAUCUCUCUCUCUCUCUUUGCGAGCUGAGCUUCAUUUGAAUUUUAGAUUCUAAUAAAUUAUUAAGAGACUCCGCCGCUGAGGCUACAGGAGACGAAGAUGAGGAGGAGGAAGAUGAAGGAUGCUGCGACGACAGAAAAGCAAAAUGAAAACCUGAAGGUGUGAAAUGUGCGCGGGAGUGAAGAGUGGAGGCCGGACGGAGACGAACGGAGGCGUCUCAGGAAGGAAAAGAUCAAGUUGUGACAUCUCAACAUAAUCCAGCUGCCCAAAAAGAGCUCAAAGUUUUAUUAGCAGUCGAUUUCCAAACAGAUGAAGCUUCUGGAAGACACCCAGCUUUCCCGUGAGAACACUUCUCACAACCACCGUUUGUCGUGUUGUGAACCUCAACCUCCUCUUCAUGGAACCAGUGAAGUCUCUGAGCAAGAACUGAACAUAGAAUUAAAUAUUAAGAUUGGUUGUAGAGCUCGAAGGUGAAGACACCCACAGCUCCACAGGCUGUAUGAGGAGUCUUUGUGAACAGAGCAGAACCUUCUUCAGAUGGUCCAAUUGUUGAUGGUAAAGUAUUUUGACAGCGUCCACUAUAAAGGUACACCCUGUCAGAGAAACAACUAGAAACCUGAAGACUUAAACCUCUGGCUACAGCUGUCAAAGAAACCUACACUCAGUUUACCUCAGUUACAGUCAAAAUAUUCAAUUGCUACAGUGUUUUACAUCAACAUGAGCUGAGAGGAUCCAUGAAGAAGGAAGUUCAUCUUCUAGAAGAACCUUAAAGCUCCACUCAAGUUUGAUCACAUGGACAAAGAAAAGGUCUUCUGGAGGAUAGUUCUGUGGUCAGGUGGAAGGUGGAACAAAAACUGAGCAGAAAUCUGUUUGGAGGAGAGAAGGUGAGGCCUUUAACCCCAAGAACACCAAACCUACCAUCAAGCAUGGAGGUGGCAGUAUCAUGCUCUGUGGAACUGGAGCUUUACAUAAAGUAAAUGGAACAAUGAAGAAGGAGGAUUACCUCCACGUUCUUCAGGAAAACCUAAAAUCAUCAGCAGAGGGCUGAUCUUGGACACAGUUGAAUGUUUCAACAAGACAAUAGACCCAAACCCACAUCAGAAUGAAGGUUCUAGACUGGUCUGCACAAAGUUAUGACUUAAACCAUCAAGAACCUGAAGAAACAAGUCUGAAUCAGAAAGACCAAAUUUAGUUGAACUACACCAACUCUAGAGGGUCAAAGAUAAACCAGAAGCUUGUGGAUGGAAGCCAGAAGAACCAAACUGCGGAGAAAAAGGACAAAUAUAACCAAAUAUUAGCACUGCUGUUUGUAAUUUUAUGAUCCAGCAGAUUUUGUCAUUUUUCUGAAAGACCUUUAAUAAAUCUAUGAAAAUCCAUGAUUGUUUAGAAAACUCAAAGUAAUAGAAGUAAUCAGAAAUACUGUCAUGAAACAAUGUUCAUUUACUUUUGUUCACAACUGUGUAGAAACUCCACAAAAACAGCUUGACCAUGCUAUCAAAAACAAUCCAAAGUAGUUUAAAUCAAUCCACUGGACUUUAAGAAAGUUCCUUGAAGACGUUUCACCUCUCAUCCAAGAGGCUUCUUCAGUUCUGGUGGUGGUUGGUGUUGCCUCAGCUUUUAAACCUGUGUGAGGUGUGUCCAGGGCUAUUAUUCCAACGACCAAUACCAAAACUCAUCUGACUACUCAACGAUAGUCGUUGUGAGUAUCGGUGGGGGUCGUUGAUACUCACAACGACCAUUGUUGAGUAGUGAGGCAACACCAGUCACCACCAGAACUGAAGAAGCCUCUUGGAUGAGAGGUGAAACGUCUUCAAGGAACUUUCUUAAAGUCCAGUGGAUUGAUUUAAACUACUCUGGAUAACCAUGACCUGGAUGAAUGAGAACCUACACAGAUAUCAAAAACAAUGUGCUUCACAUUAUGAUGCUGCCUCACACCAUGAUUAACGCUUCUGUUCUUUCUAUUAUUUAACAAAAAAAGGGACAAAACUGGUUCAGUUUCCAGUGAAGCAUUAGUUAUAUCUAAUUUGCAUCAAACAUAAGACAUUGUGAUGGUAAAAUAGAAAUAAUUUUAGGACUGAAAAUAAUAAAGCAACAUAAUAAAGCGAUUCACCAUCAGGAAAGUAAAAGUUGAGCAGUGAGUUUAAAAUCAUGUCCUGAAGCAAAGAAAUGAAGUUUUGUUUCUGUUGGGACAAUCUUUCAUUCCAGGACGAGUCUGAACCUGAAACCAGUGUAGACCCAGAUCACUGCAGCUUCAAAGAAUCAAACAGAAGCUGAGAGUUCAGCAACACACAAAGCUGCUGCGAGUUUGGAUUUAAGCUUCUGGAGGAGAUAAAAGUCGGUUUAAACGAUGAGUUUCUUCUCAGCUGUGAAUAUCGAUUCAUUUUCACCUGGAUUCAUAUUUUCUGCUUCAUUUCUGCAGUUCGUCCAGAUGUGCAGCUGUGGGUGACGUCAUCCCUGACGACCAGCUGUGGAGAAAACGUGACUCUGAACUGUUACGUCAAAUCAUCGAGUCAGUUGGAAAUAAAACAUCUGUCCUGGGUGGCUGGAAAUGAAGCUGUAUAUACGAAAAACCAGAGUCCGGCUGUGAAAGCACAAAGAACGACUCGACUCACCGACUGACUCUGAGACUCUCCAACAUCUGGCCCGUCGACGCCCGAAACUACAGCUGCAAAUUGCGCAGCAACAUGGACAGGAUGUCUAAAACCACCAGCGUUACUGUGACCGAGUGUUCUGGUCACCCGGGCUCCCUCGGUGAAU